rnacentral:sRNA from 17 species
GUAUUGUUUGGAAGUUAUACCGCAGUGGUCCAGUAGCGUACUCCGAAGGAGAGCGAUGUCAGGAGUACAACAAUAC